UACGAAGGGGGCUAGCGUUGUUCGGAAUUACUGGGCGUAAAGCGCGCGCAGGCGGUUUCUCAAGUCAGUGGUGAAAGCCCGGAGCUCAACUCCGGAACUGCCUUUAAGACUGCAUCGCUUGAAUCCGGGAGAGGUGAGUGGAAUUCCGAGUGUAGAGGUGAAAUUCGUAGAUAUUCGGAAGAACACCAGUGGCGAAGGCGGCUCACUGGACCGGCAUUGACGCUGAGGUGCGAAAGCGUGGGGAGCAAACAGG
rnacentral:rRNA from 1 species